rnacentral:rRNA from 1 species
AGCGUUGCUCGGAAUCACUGGGCGUAAAGCGCACGUAGGCGGAUUGUUAAGUCAGGGGUGAAAUCCUGGAGCUCAACUCCAGAACUGCCUUCGAUACUGAGAGUCUUGAGUCCGGGAGAGGUGAGUGGAACUGCGAGUGUAGAGGUGAAAUUCGUAGAUAUUCGCAAGAACACCAGUGGCGAGGGCGGCUCACUGGCCCGGUACUGACGCUGAGGUGCGAAAGCGUGGGAAGCAAACAGG